UACGGAGGGAGCUAGCGUUGUUCGGAAUUACUGGGCGUAAAGCGCGCGUAGGCGGCUUUGUAAGUUAGAGGUGAAAGCCCGGGGCUCAACCCCGGAAUUGCCUUUAAGACUGCAUCGCUUGAAUCCGGGAGAGGUGAGUGGAAUUCCGAGUGUAGAGGUGAAAUUCGUAGAUAUUCGGAAGAACACCAGCGGCGAAGGCGGCUCACUGGACCGGUAUUGACGCUGAGGUGCGAAAGCGUGGGGAGCAAACAGG
rnacentral:rRNA from 1 species